rnacentral:rRNA from 1 species
CGGUAAUACGGAGGGUGCAAGCGUUACUCGGAACCACUGGGCGUAAAGCGCGCGCAGGCGGUCUAUUAAGUUGGAUGUGAAAGCCUACGGCUCAACCGUAGAACUGCAUCCAAAACUAUUAGACUAGAGUGUGGGAGAGGAAGAUGGAAUUAGUUGUGUAGGGGUAAAAUCCGUAGAGAUAACUAGGAAUACCAAAAGCGAAGGCAAUCUUCUGGAACACUACUGACGCUGAGGCGCGAAAGCGUGGGGAGCAAACAGGAUUAGAUACCCUGGUAGUCCACGCAGUAAACGAUGAAUGUUAGUCGUCGGGGGCCUAGUGUCUUCGGUGAUGCAGCUAACGCAUUAAACAUUCCGCCUGGGGAGUACGGUCGCAAGAUUAAAACUCAAAGGAAUAGACGGGGACCCGCACAAGUGGUGGAGCAUGUGGUUUAAUUCGAAGAUACGCGAAGAACCUUACCUAGCCUUGACAUAUUUGAAAAUCCACCAGAGAUGGAGGAGUGCCUUCGGGAGUUCAUAUACAGGUGCUGCACGGCUGUCGUCAGCUCGUGUCGUGAGAUGUUGGGUUAAGUCCCGCAACGAGCGCAACCCUCGUCACUAGUUACUAACGAUUCGGUCGAGGACUCUAGUGAGACUGCCUUCGCAAGAAGGAGGAAGGUGAGGACGACGUCAAGUCAUCAUGGCCCUUACGGCUAGGGCAACACACGUGCUACAAUGGCCAGGACAGUGAGAAGCGAUACCGCGAGGUGGAGCAAAUCUAUAAACCUGGUCUCAGUUCGGAUUGUAGUCUGCAACUCGACUACAUGAAGCUGGAAUCACUAGUAAUCGUAGAUCAGCUAUGCUACGGUGAAUACGUUCCCGGG